rnacentral:rRNA from 1 species
UGGGGAAUAUUGCACAAUGGGCGCAAGCCUGAUGCAGCCAUGCCGCGUGUGUGAAGAAGGCCUUCGGGUUGUAAAGCACUUUCAGCGAGGAGGAAGGGUAGUGUGUUAAUAGCACAUUGCAUUGACGUUACUCGCAGAAGAAGCACCGGCUAACUCCGUGCCAGCAGCCGCGGUAAUACGGAGGGUGCAAGCGUUAAUCGGAAUUACUGGGCGUAAAGCGCACGCAGGCGGUUUGUUAAGUCAGAUGUGAAAUCCCCGCGCUUAACGUGGGAACUGCAUUUGAAACUGGCAAGCUAGAGUCUUGUAGAGGGGGGUAGAAUUCCAGGUGUAGCGGUGAAAUGCGUAGAGAUCUGGAGGAAUAACGGUGGCGAAGGCGGCCCCCUGGACAAAGACUGACGCUCAGGUGCGAAAGCGUGGGGAGCAAACA